rnacentral:rRNA from 1 species
GCGUGAAUGAUGAAGGCCUUCGGGUUGUAAAGUUCUUUUGGGUGGGACGAUGAUGACGGUACCACCAGAAUAAGCUCCGGCUAACUUCGUGCCAGCAGCCGCGGUAAUACGAAGGGAGCUAGCGUUGUUCGGAAUUACUGGGCGUAAAGGGCGCGUAGGCGGCUUAGUCAGUCAGAUGUGAAAGCCCCGGGCUUAACCCGGGAACUGCGUUUGAUACAGCUAGGCUUGAAUUCGGGAGAGGUGAGUGGAAUUCCCAGUGUAGAGGUGAAAUUCGU